rnacentral:misc_RNA from 1 species
GAUGAAGAACGCAGCGAAAUGCGAUAAGUAGUGUGAAUUGCAGAAUUCAGUGAAUCAUCGAAUCUUUGAACGCACAUUGCGCCCCAUGGUAUUCCGUGGGGCAUGCCUGUUCGAGCGUCAUUAUAACCACUCAAGCUCUCGCUUGGUAUUGGGGUUCGCGGUUUCGCGGCCCCUAAAAUCAGUGGCGGUGCCUGUCGGCUCUACGCGUAGUAAUACUUCUCGCGAUUGAGUUCGAUAGGUCUACUUGCCAGUACCCCCCAAUUUUUACAGGUUGACCUCGGAUCAGGUAGGGAUACCCGCUGAACUUAAGCAUAUCAAUAAGCGGAGGA